UACGGGGGGGGCAAGCGUUGUUCGGAAUUACUGGGCGUAAAAGGCUCGUAGGUGGCCAACUAAGUCGGACGUGAAAUCCCUCGGCUUAACCGGGGAACUGCGUCCGAUACUGGUUGGCUUGAGUUUGGGAGAGGGAUGCGGAAUUCCAGGUGUAGCGGUGAAAUGCGUAGAUAUCUGGAGGAACACCGGUGGCGAAGGCGGCAUCCUGGACCGGCAUUGACGCUGAGGAGCGAAAGCCAGGGGAGCAAACGGG
rnacentral:rRNA from 1 species